rnacentral:rRNA from 1 species
UACGUAGGGGGCAAGCGUUGUCCGGAAUCAUUGGGCGUAAAGAGCGUGUAGGCGGCUCGGUAAGUCCGCUGUGAAAGUCCAGGGCUCAACCCUGGAAUGCCGGUGGAAACUGUCGAGCUAGAGUCCGGAAGAGGCGAGUGGAAUUCCUGGUGUAGCGGUGAAAUGCGUAGAGAUCCGGAGGAACACCAAAGGCGAAGGCAGUGUCCUGGGGAGUACCUGACGCUCAGGUGCGAAAGCCAGGGGAGCGAACGGG